AGAACACCUUCCAACUCAACAUAAGGCAGCUACAGGUUGGAGUGCAAUGGCACAAUCUCGGCUCACGACAACCUCUGCCUCCCGGGUAUAAGUGAUUCUCCUGCCUCAGCCUCCCGAGUAGCUGAGAUUACAGCCUUAAACCGAUUAAAUGAAGUCUUGACGGCCAGCAGCCUGCAUCCACUACAGAAAAAACGACACAUUGAAUCACACCUUCACUUGAAUUCAGUUGAGUUCCAGUGACUACCACCUCUGUGCUUUGUCAACGUUGGGUUGAGUCCUUUCCUGAAAACACAUCAGUAAUGAUGCAUGCCCCGCAUCCAGCUUCCCACCAAGAAGAGAAAAGAGAGGAGGAUGAGGAAAGCCAUGGAGUAUGUUUCUUUUUAAAAUGAAAACUCUCUUAGCUUUGAACACAUCCUGAGAAUCCUUUCUUCUUUCUAGUUUACCAAAGUGCUUGUUUGUUACAGUUAAAAACACAGCCCACAGGCACUGAGGUGGGACUACAGAACCUUGCUGGACCACAUCUUUUCAGCACAUUUCUGUGACCCUCUGUUUUUGACGGAGAAAACAACUCUACUGUUUUGAAACACAGAACAGAGUCUUCAUUAAUCUUCCAGCA
rnacentral:antisense_RNA from 1 species